rnacentral:rRNA from 1 species
AAUAUUGGACCAUAGGGGCAACCCUGAUCCAGCCAUGCCGCGUGUGUGAAGAAGGUCUUCGGAUUGUUAAGAACUUGAAGUUGGGAGGAAGGGCUUUAGGCUAAUACCCUGAUGUUUUGACGUUACCAACAGACUAAGCACCGGUUAAUUCCGUGCGAGCAGCCGAGGUAAUACAGAGGGUGCAAGCGUUAAUCGGAAUUACUGGGCGUAAAGCGCGCGUAGGUGGUUCAGUACAAUGGGUGUGAAAUCCCCAGGCUUAACCUGGGAACUGCUUUCAUAACUGCUGAGCUAGAGUACGGUAGAGGGUAGUGGAAUUUCCUGUGUAGAGGUGAAAUGCGUAGAUAUAGGAAGGAACACCAGUGGCGAAGGCGACUACCUUGACUGAUACUGACACUGAGGUGCGAAAGCGUGGGGAGCAAACA